AUUGAACGCUGGCGGCAGGCCUAACACAUGCAAGUCGAGCGAGCGGCGGACGGGUGAGUAAUGUCUGGGAAACUGCCUGAUGGAGGGGGAUAACUACUGGAAACGGUAGCUAAUACCGCAUACCAUCAGAUGUGCCCAGAUGGGAUUAGCUAGUAGGUGGGGUAACGGCUCACCUAGGCGACGAGCCCUAGCUGGUCUGAGAGGAUGACCAGACACACUGGAACUUAGACACGGUCCAGACUCCUACGGGAGGCAGCAGUGGGGAAUAUUGCACAAUGGGCGCAAGCCUGAGGAAGCCAUGCCGCGUGUGUGAAGCAGGCCUUCGGGGUGUAAAGCACUUUCAGCGUGGAGGCGUUACCCGCAGAAGAAGCACCGGCUAACUCCGUGCCAGCAGCCGCGGUAAUUC
rnacentral:rRNA from 1 species